rnacentral:sRNA from 1 species
CGUGUCUCCAGUAUCCGUGUUAAUCACAUGGUAGAUAUUAUGGAAGAAUAUGGAUCCGACAAUCAGGUAGUCACUGAUAUCCGAGGCUUCACAGACGAAUAGGUCAGCAAGGAACUAACAAACAUCGACAAGAGAGUUAACACGACUCACGAGAAGCUUGGAUCCGACAGUAACAAUAAUUCGCAUCCGUCGAACUUGGAUUGGCACUACAAAGGCAUUGAGAUGGAACCCAGAGGAAAGAAGAAGGAAACCAACUUACAUCAAAUCUUGCCAGCUCAAAGGGAAUUGCUGGCCAUGGAACUGGAGUGCCAAAGCUGCAUCGUCGUUACUGUUACAUGGGACCACCAAGUCACCUGUCAUGGUGUCAAAAUAAUAUGUACCAUUCCCCAAAGCAGCAUAUAUGGGGAGAAGCAUCUGUAAAUAUACAACGUCCUUUGAGCACCACUAUUAGCGCACUGCGUCGACAUUAAUCACUUUGUGACUACAACCUACCCAGUAUCAAGGAUAACCUCAAUAUUCUCCAUACUGAUGCUGCCGUUUGAACUUUGCACCAUGUAGCCAUGAGAAACGAAGCCAUCCAUGGUAACACGAUAAAGACCGUCACCGGUGGUAAUUUUGGGCAGAGUAACCUUUUUGUUUUGAUCGGCGUGAGGGCUGGACAAGAGCUCACUCCCUGACUCUGUUCGAGUGAGGUAGAAGCCAACUUCGGGGGUGCUGAUCAUCCCCAAUUGCGACAAAGUAUCCAUGGGUGUUGCUUGAUUGUUGAUGGAAGAUUUCUGCACCUAUGUCAGUAGUUGUCGCUAAGAGGCAAUAUUCGGUAUGCGAACAUUCAUGGCAAGGCCAAAGAUACCACUUUGGUGCGUCAGCUUACUUCUACCUCGCUGAAAAUUCUCGCUGACCUCAUAUAGGUGCCGUCAAAGCCUUGAGAGUCAGACGCAGCCAAAACAUGGAAUUGCUCCAGCUCAUAAGUUCCGAUAAUGAUAUCAAUGUUUACCAGACAUCCUUUCACAGAACCGCUCCCUAUUUCAGGUUAUCUAUCUCACUUUAUUGCCUUUCAAGUGCCAAAACAUACCAUAUCCCUUAUCUUCCUCCUCGCACCCCACGGGGAGAGUUAGACCGCUAUCAACCAUACUUGCUGCUGUGCAAUUCUCACAUUCGCUCGCCGCAAUCCAGAUAUCGGCACUCCUGUAAAGACAUCAGCUUUCUUUCCAUAAAUCACAUUGAUUAAGGAGACGCACCCUGUGUCUACGAGCACAGGGAGGGUAAUACCCCCAUCUCCUAUUGUGACAUCAAUGGUGUAUACAAUCGCAUUGUUCUGGCUCAUAACGCCGGCCAAACUUGCGGAGAAAUCGGAAGGUUGAGCCCAUUCUGAUUGCGCAAAGGUUGUUGACGCGGAAGUCGAGUCGCUUUGACUUGCUGCUCCAGAAGACGAUGCAGGCGCAUGUGUGCCACUGACUGAAACGAUAAGAGUGCCAGCUGCUGAGAUGCUGUUUGUUGAGAGCUCGUCUGUUAAGGCUCCACUAUUUGGUUCGGAAUCGCUGUUGGAGCUCGACGCGCGAUCAGUGGCUGAAGGUGCACCGCUGUCGAAUGCCGAUGUUUUGGACAUUAGGCCUGAAUUAAUUGCGCUCUGCGAAUCCAAUACUUCCUCCAAUGCCGUCGCGGUCGCGCUGUUGGUUAUUGAAGCACUUACUGCAGUUGUUAGAUCGCUAGCUCGAGAAGCUCCAGCUGAGGCGUCAGUCUCUGUUGUCCCUGUCUGGGCCACACUUGAAAGACCACCCAUAGCAGACGGUUGUUCUAUACCAGUUCCCCUGCCUGUCCCUCCUGCCAAUGAUUGUGACAAUUCUUCCGUCCCAAAGGCGGAUGCUGAAAGUCCGACUGGCUCGUUAUUGCACUCUCAGACGCAAUAUUCGCGGCACUGCCAGAAGCUGUCUCUGAAGCCCCUUCCUGUCUCGGAAAGAUCUUGCUUCUAUAAAUGUCCUUGACGAUUGCACGUCUUCCAAUCCCAGCUCCGGUCGACUUACGGCGAGGGGGUAGACAACAGUGCGGCGAGUCGGCAAUGAGACGCUUAAUCAGGUGGCUGUGCUCUUGUCCAGUCUGCCUACGAGUCAUUUGGACAGAAACGGCCGGCGCUCCAGGAAUGAAAGAGGUGGCAGCCAAGAAGAGAAGGAUAUGUAAAAGCCGGACGGGUAAUAUAGGACACAUUAUGUGUACUUUUUAUUUGGAGUCCAAACUCGUAAGAAUGAAAAGAGGGCUGUUGACGAAAGAGCGAAAGCCAGUCAAAUGUGGGGGAUAGUAGAAGAGGCUGGUUUCUGAACUUAUUAUUAUGAUAAGAAGCAGACGAGGUUGGAUAUUAGGAAAGAAGCUGCUGUCGAGGAGGCAGCAAACAUAUCUGAAGUCUGCCGAGAAAUGAUUGCUAUUCAUACAUAAGCGUAGAGUAACUCCUAAAUUAGAGCUCCCCGACAAAAUAUUACCUUUCUUUCGCGUCAUUGGAACGGGGGAAUGUCAAAGGAUAUAUGCGAGGCAGAACUAUAAUACUACGAUGACGAUGGGAAGGAAAUAAGGUAACAAAAACAAAGGAUAGGUUACUGUGCAUGGUAUACGCAUCACUUGGCUUUUAUUUGUUUCGGCAUUUGCCCGCUGGUAUGCUUUCAAGUUUCGGCAUGACCUGAGGAUCGGUUUGGAGGACGCGAACGAUGAUUUGGAUGGCGGCGCCGAGACUGACGGAGGCCACGAUUCGAUACCAUGCCCUUUCCUUGGCCGUUAACAUUCCUGCUCUUUGCAGUAUUGCUCUUCGCAUCACCCUAGCGGAGACAACUUUUAAGCUCAAAAGACAAUCAGGUUUUUCAAGACCUUGUCAAAGUACCUACUGUCCGUCUCUAUUUGGGAGGCGGAAGCGAGGACGACGAAAUGGAAGAAUGGUCCAAUCAAUGAGCAAAUAUAGCUAUAUGUUUGCUCCUUGUUAGUUGAUAUGUAACUUCCUUCCUCACGCCUGUGAAAAUAGUGCGUGUGUCAUGAGG